GACGAACGCUGGCGGCGUGCUUAACACAUGCAAGUCGAACGGAAAGGCCCUGCUUUUGUGGGGUGCUCGAGUGGCGAACGGGUGAGUAACACGUGAGUAACCUGCCCUUGACUUUGGGAUAACUUCAGGAAACUGGGGCUAAUACCGGAUAGGAGCUCCUGCUGCAUGGUGGGGGUUGGAAAGUUUCGGCGGUUGGGGAUGGACUCGCGGCUUAUCAGCUUGUUGGUGGGGUAGUGGCUUACCAAGGCUUUGACGGGUAGCCGGCCUGAGAGGGUGACCGGCCACAUUGGGACUGAGAUACGGCCAAGACUCCUACGGGAGGCAGCAGUGGGGAAUAUUGCAAAAUGGGCGGAAGCCUGAUGCAGCAACGCCGCGUGCGGGAUGACGGCCUUCGGGUUAUAACCCGCUUUCGCCUGUGACGAAGCGUGAGUGACGGUAAUGGGUAAAGAAGCACCGGCUAACUACGUG
rnacentral:rRNA from 1 species